UACGGAGGGUGCAAGCGUUAUCCGGAUUCACUGGGUUUAAAGGGUGCGUAGGCGGACAGGUAAGUCAGUGGUGAAAUCUCUGGGCUUAACCCAGAAACUGCCGUUGAUACUAUUUGUCUUGAAUAUCCUGGAGGUAGGCGGAAUGUGUCAUGUAGCGGUGAAAUGCUUAGAUAUGACAUAGAACACCGAUAGCGAAGGCAGCUUACUACAGGAUGAUUGACGCUGAGGCACGAAAGCGUGGGGAGCAAACAGG
rnacentral:rRNA from 1 species